ACAUUUUGCACUGGAUUUCUGCUUGCAGCAGCAUCUGCUCUUUCAUUUUAAAACAAAAUUGGAAUAUAAGAAAUAUAAUUUCACAAGCUUCCCAACCUGAAAUAGAAUUUUAAAAGGUUUGUGUUCCUUAAAUGGGCUGAGUAAUAUUGGAGUAACUGAAGAGACCACCUUCAACUAUGCAGAUGGGAAUACCAUUUUCCAGCAUUAAUUUUUUCCAGGUGGAACAUCUCCAACCCAUGAAAGUGAAUUUCUCACAAUCGUCUAUGAAUAGAAUUAAAACCAUAAUGUUAAAUGAGUUGGAAUGUAUUAGGGAAGGCAAAGCAGAAAUGAGGCACCUGCAGAGCCACCAGAAGAUUAUGCCUAAUGCAAAUAAUCAUUCCCAGGGCAUGGAGCACAUCACAGAGGUUUAGUUACGACUGUUGGUGCGGAAACCAGAGAGCUGUGGCUAGAAAUAUCACACAGAUGGGACUGCUUGAAAAUCCGCUGCAUCCUGAGCUUUCAAACCUUUGAAACGGAUGAAGUGAUUCCAACAUGACCCCUGCUGUGAUAUAAUGGAUCUGUCUGUGUGUGCAGGGCUUGCCAUGAUUUACCUCUUGCCAUUCAUAGCUUGUAUAAUAGAUGACAAUUCUGAAAAUGGAUUACUAUUGAUUAGGCACCCUGCACUAUCGAAUGUUCUGAAUUGAUUUAUUUGAAUAAAAGCUUUGGAUGACCUCACUAAU